rnacentral:piRNA from 1 species
UUUUAAAGAAUCUUUUGCGGA